UACGAAGGGGGCUAGCGUUGCUCGGAAUCACUGGGCGUAAAGCGCACGUAGGCGGAUUGCUAAGUCAGGGGUGAAAUCCUGGAGCUCAACUCCAGAACUGCCCUUGAUACUGGCGGUCUCGAGUCCGGGAGAGGUGAGUGGAACUGCGAGUGUAGAGGUGAAAUUCGUAGAUAUUCGCAAGAACACCAGUGGCGAAGGCGGCUCACUGGCCCGGUACUGACGCUGAGGUGCGAAAGCGUGGGGGAGCAAACAGGG
rnacentral:rRNA from 1 species